rnacentral:rRNA from 1 species
UGAGGAAUAUUGGUCAAUGGGCGGGAGCCUGAACCAGCCAAGUCGCGUGAGGGACGACGGUCCUAUGGAUUGUAAACCUCUUUUGUCGGGGAACAAAGGCGCCCACGGGUGGGCGGAUGAGUGUACCCGAAGAAAAAGCAUCGGCUAACUCCGUGCCAGCAGCCGCGGUAAUACGGAGGAUGCGAGCGUUAUCCGGAUUUAUUGGGUUUAAAGGGUGCGUAGGCGGACGGUCAAGUCAGCGGUAAAAAUGCGGUGCUCAACGCCGUACAGCCGUUGAAACUGGCAGUCUUGAGUGGGCGAGAAGUAUGCGGAAUGCGUGGUGUAGCGGUGAAAUGCAUAGAUAUCACGCAGAACUCCGAUUGCGAAGGCAGCAUACCGGCGCCCGACUGACGCUGAGGCACGAAAGCGUGGGUAUCGAACAGG